AGUAGGGAAUAUUGGGCAAUGGGCGAAAGCCUGACCCAGCCAUGCCGCGUGAAGGAAGACGGCCUUAUGGGUUGUAAACUUCUUUACUACGCGAAUAGAGGUUAGUACGAGAUACUAAUAGGAAGGUAGUGUAGUAAAAAGCACCGGCUAACUCCGUGCCAGCAGCCGCGGUAAUACGGAGGGUGCAAGCGUUAUUCGGAAUUACUGGGUUUAAAGGGUGCGUAGGCGGUUAAAUAAGUUGUCAGUGAAAGGCUACGGCUCAACUGUAGUAGUGCUGGCGAUACUGUAUAACUAAGAACAUGGGAGGGGUACCUGGAAUGUGUGGUGUAGCGGUGAAAUGCGUAGAUAUCACACAGAACACCGGAGGCAAAGGCGGGGUACUAGACCAUAGUUGACGCUGAGGCACGAAAGCGUGGGGAUCAAACAGGAUUAGAUACCCUGGUAGUCCACGCCCUAAACGAUGAUCACUAGAUAUUGGCGACAGACAGUCAGUGUCCAAGCGAAAGUGAUAAGUGAUCCACCUGGGGAAUACGGCCGCAAGGUUAAAACUCAAAGGAAUUGACGGGGGCCCGCACAAGCGGAGGAGCAUGUGGUUUAAUUCGAUGGUACGCGAGGAACCUUACCUGGGUUAGAACGUAUGAUAAAUGUAGCUGAAAGGUUACAGUCCUGCAAGGGAUAUCAUACGAGGUGCUGCAUGGUUGUCGUCAGCUCGUGCCGUGAGGUGUUUGGUUAAGUCCAGCAACGAGCGCAACCCCUACCUUUAGUUGCCAGCAGGUAAAGCUGGGGACACUAGAGGGACUGCCUGCGCAAGCAGAGAGGAAGGUGGGGAUGACGUCAAAUCAGCACGGCCCUUAUGUCCAGGGCUACACACGUGCUACAAUGGUAACUACAGAGGGCAGCGACUAGGCGACUAGGAGCGAAUCUCGAAAAGUUAUCUCAGUUCGGAUUGGAGUCUGCAACUCGACUCCAUGAAGGUGGAUUCGCUAGUAAUCGCGCAUCAGCAAUGGCGCGGUGAAUACGUUCCCGGGCCUUGUACACACCGCCCGUCAAGCCAUGGAAGUUGGGGGUACCUAAAGUUCGUAACCGUAAAAGGAGCGACCUAGGGUAAACUCGAUGACUGGGGCU
rnacentral:rRNA from 1 species